rnacentral:misc_RNA from 1 species
UGGUUCUGGCAUCGAUGAAGAACGCAGCGAAAUGCGAUAAGUAGUGUGAAUUGCAGAAUUCAGUGAAUCAUCGAAUCUUUGAACGCACAUUGCGCCCCUUGGUAUUCCAUGGGGCAUGCCUGUUCGAGCGUCAUAUAACCCCUCAAGCUUUGCUUGGUGUUGGGCGUUGUCCAGUGGACUCACCCUAAAUCUAUUGGCAGCCGGCAAUCGGUGUAGAGCGCAGCACAUUGUUCUCUCACAGACACGCCGUCUUUCCAGCAAGACGACCAUCAUUUGACCUCGGAUCAGGUAGGGAUACCCGCUGA